rnacentral:tRNA from 1 species
UCCCCAGUGGUCCAAUGGUUAAGACCCUGAGCUACCAGUACAGGGAGCACAGGUUCGAUCCCUGGCAGGGGAA